rnacentral:rRNA from 1 species
AUUGAACGCUGGCGGCAUGCUUUACACAUGCAAGUCGAACGGCAGCGGGGUAGUUCUUGCACUACUUCCGGCGAGUGGCGAACGGGAGGGUAAUAUAUCGGAACGUACCGAGUAAUGGGAGAUAACCAAUCGCAAGAUUAGCUAAUACCGCAUACGUCCUGAGGGAGAAAGCGGGGGAUCGCAAGACCACGCGUUAUUCGAGCGGCCGAUAACUGAUUAGCUAGUUGGUGGGGUAAAGGCCUACCAAGGCGACGAUCAGCAGCGGGUCUGAGACGACGAUCGUCCACACUGGGACUGAGACACGGCCCAGACUCCUACGGGAGGCAGCAGUGGGGAAGUUUGGACAAUGGGGGUAACCCUGAUCCAGCCAUGCCGCGUGUAUGAAGAAGGCCUUCGGGUUGUAAAGUACUUUUGUUAGGGAAGAAAAGGGAAGUGCUAAUACCACUUUUUGCCGACGGUACCUAAAGAAUAAGCACCGGCUAACUACGUG